AGACAGCCAGGAUGUUGGCUUAGAAGCAGCCAUCAUUUAAAGAAAGCGUAAUAGCUCACUGGUCGAGUCGGCCUGCGCGGAAGAUGUAACGGGGCUAAACCAUGCACCGAAGCUGCGGCAGCGAACGUAUCACUUAAAGCGAUUCAGCGGGUUACGAUUGACGGAGCGAAGCGACGUCAAAGCGUAUACAAAGUCGAGUCGGUUUAAGGAUACGUUCGUUGGGUAGGGGAGCGUUCUGUAAGCCUGUGAAGGUGGCCUGUGAGGGUUGCUGGAGGUAUCAGAAGUGCGAAUGCUGACAUAAGUAACGAUAAAGCGGGUGAAAAGCCCGCUCGCCGGAAGACCAAGGGUUCCUGUCCAACGUUAAUCGGGGCAGGGUGAGUCGACCCCUAAGGCGAGGCCGAAAGGCGUAGUCGAUGGGAAACGGGUUAAUAUUCCCGUACUUGGUGUUACUGCGAAGGGGGGACGGAGAAGGCUAUGUUGGCCGGGCGACGGUUGUCCCGGUUUAAGCGUGUAGGUGUGUGUUCCAGGUAAAUCCGGUUCACUUUAACACUGAGGCGUGACGACGAGGCACUACGGUGCUGAAGCAACAAAUGCCCUGCUUCCAGGAAAAGCCUCUAAGCAUCAGGUAACAUCAAAUCGUACCCCAAACCGACACAGGUGGUCAGGUAGAGAAUACCAAGGCGCUUGAGAGAACUCGGGUGAAGGAACUAGGCAAAAUGGUGCCGUAACUUCGGGAGAAGGCACGCUGACACGUAGGUGAAGUGAUUUACUCACGGAGCUGAAGUCAGUCGAAGAUACCAGCUGGCUGCAACUGUUUAUUAAAAACACAGCACUGUGCAAACACGAAAGUGGACGUAUACGGUGUGACGCCUGCCCGGUGCCGGAAGGUUAAUUGAUGGGGUCAGCGCAAGCGAAGCUCCUGAUCGAAGCCCCGGUAAACGGCGGCCGUAACUAUAACGGUCCUAAGGUAGCGAAAUUCCUUGUCGGGUAAGUUCCGACCUGCACGAAUGGCGUAAUGAUGGCCAGGCUGUCUCCACCCGAGACUCAGUGAAAUUGAACUCGCUGUGAAGAUGCAGUGUACCCGCGGCAAGACGGAAAGACCCCGUGAACCUUUACUAUAGCUUGACACUGAACAUUGAGCCUUGAUGUGUAGGAUAGGUGGGAGGCUUUGAAGUGUGGACGCCAGUCUGCAUGGAGCCGACCUUGAAAUACCACCCUUUAAUGUUUGAUGUUCUAACGUGGACCCGUAAUCCGGGUUGCGGACAGUGUCUGGUGGGUAGUUUGACUGGGGCGGUCUCCUCCUAAAGAGUAACGGAGGAGCACGAAGGUUGGCUAAUCCUGGUCGGACAUCAGGAGGUUAGUGCAAUGGCAUAAGCCAGCUUGACUGCGAGCGUGACGGCGCGAGCAGGUGCGAAAGCAGGUCAUAGUGAUCCGGUGGUUCUGAAUGGAAGGGCCAUCGCUCAACGGAUAAAAGGUACUCCGGGGAUAACAGGCUGAUACCGCCCAAGAGUUCAUAUCGACGGCGGUGUUUGGCACCUCGAUGUCGGCUCAUCACAUCCUGGGGCUGAAGUAGGUCCCAAGGGUAUGGCUGUUCGCCAUUUAAAGUGGUACGCGAGCUGGGUUUAGAACGUCGUGAGACAGUUCGGUCCCUAUCUGCCGUGGGCGCUGGAGAACUGAGGGGGGCUGCUCCUAGUACGAGAGGACCGGAGUGGACGCAUCACUGGUGUUCGGGUUGUCAUGCCAAUGGCACUGCCCGGUAGCUAAAUGCGGAAGAGAUAAGUGCUGAAAGCAUCUAAGCACGAAACUUGCCCCGAGAUGAGUUCUCCCUGAGACUUAGAGUCUCCUGAAGGAACGUUGAAGACGACGACGUUGAUAGGCCGGGUGUGUAAGCGCAGCGAUGCGUUGAGCUAACCGGUACUAAUGAACCGUGAGGCUUAACCUUACA
rnacentral:rRNA from 1 species